rnacentral:rRNA from 1 species
AUUGAACGCUGGCGGCAGGCCUAACACAUGCAAGUCGAACGGCAGCACAGAAGAGCUUGCUCUUUGGGUGGCGAGUGGCGGACGGGUGAGUAAUGUCUGGGAAACUGCCCGAUGGAGGGGGAUAACUACUGGAAACGGUAGCUAAUACCGCAUAACGUCGCGAGACCAAAGUGGGGGACCUUCGGGCCUCACACCAUCGGAUGUGCCCAGAUGGGACUAGCUAGUAGGUGGGGUAAUGGCUCACCUAGGCGACGAUCCCUAGCUGGUCUGAGAGGAUGACCAGCCACACUGGAACUGAGACACGGUCCAGACUCCUACGGGAGGCAGCAGUGGGGAAUAUUGCACAAUGGGCGCAAGCCUGAUGCGGCCAUGCCGCGUGUAUGAAGAAGGCCUUCGGGUUGUAAAGUACUUUCAGCGGGGAGGAAGGCGGUGAGGUUAAUAACCUCGCCGAUUGACGUUACCCGCAGAAGAAGCACCGGCUAACUCCGUGCCAGCAGCCGCCGUAA